UACGUAGGGGGCAAGCGUUGUCCGGAAUCAUUGGGCGUAAAGAGCGCGUAGGCGGCCAGAUAAGUCCGGUGUGAAAGUCACAGGCUCAACCUGUGAAUGCCGCUGGAAACUGUCUGGCUAGAGUCCGGUAGGGGCGAGUGGAAUUCCUGGUGUAGCGGUGAAAUGCGCAGAUAUCAGGGGGAACACCAAUGGCGAAGGCAGCUCGCUGGAACGGUACUGACGCUGAGGCGCGAAGCGUGGGGAGCAAACAGG
rnacentral:rRNA from 1 species